rnacentral:rRNA from 1 species
UACGGGGGGGCAAGCGUUGUUCGGAAUUACUGGGCGUAAAGGGCGCGUAGGCGGCCUUCUAAGUCGGACGUGAAAUCCCUCGGCUUAACCGAGGAACUGCGUCCGAUACUGAAAGGCUUGAAUCCGGAGAGGGAUGUGGAAUUCCAGGUGUAGCGGUGAAAUGCGUAGAUAUCUGGAGGAACACCGGUGGCGAAGGCGGCAUCCUGACCGGUAUUGACGCUGAGCGCGAAGCGUGGGAGCGAACAG